GUGCCAGCAGCCGCGGUAAUACGGAGGGUGCAAGCGUUGUCCGGAAUCACUGGGCGUAAAGCGCACGUAGGCGGAUCAGAAAGUUGGGGGUGAAAUCCCGGGGCUCAACCCCGGAACUGCCUCCAAAACUACUGGUCUAGAGUUCGAGAGAAGUGAGUGGAAUUCCGAGUGUAGAGGUGAAAUUCGUAGAUAUUCGGAGGAACACCAGUGGCGAAGGCGGCUCACUGGCUCGAUACUGACGCUGAGGUGCGAAAGUGUGGGGAGCAAACAGGAUUAGAAACCCCGGUAGUCC
rnacentral:rRNA from 1 species